AAAUAUAGUGACAAAUUCACCGUUUAUCGAUUGUGUUGGUUUCAAGGUUCUUUCGAUUUUUUCAAUAUGGUUACAGGUAAAAUGUCGACGUCGAGCUUUAUCUACUACAAGCACACAUUUUUAAAAGAGCUGGGUUAUCUCUUUGUCUCUUUGAUCUCUUUGUCUGGCAGAACUUUUAAUGUGCAUAUAUAUCCCUUAAAAUAGCUUCAUUCUAACGUAACAGGGUGGCUAGUUGUGGAUGCUAAGUGGUUCAUGUUGAAAUUCAGAAAGCUUACUCUGGCUUAGCACAUAAAGAUCGGUCGCAUAAUAUAGAAUUCACCUCCAUCUUUAUACGUGAACCUUCAGAUUGUUCGAUUAGGCAUAUUCGAUGGCGUGAUUUUGUGUGUAUUAAAAAAAAAAACAGUGUAUCUCUCUUUGCCGAGUCGUACAAUUAUAACCGAGCAAUUCUAUGUGACAGUUUCGGUUAGCACCAUCUAAAAAAAAGAAAACGAAGCCGGUAGCUCUGCUGUUAACCGGUUAUUUUAGAUUAACAAAAUAAGACAUUCAUGUAAGAGAACGGACGGUCUAACGUUGCGUAACAAUGUAUCGACUUAAUUAGGAUCUUCCGUUCCACUAGCUGUUCGUUCUCACGUCGUCACUUUCUGUACCUCGGAUAGGGGGCGACCAACGCUCACGUUCUGCGCAGUAGCUGUGCGGUUCCAGAAUGAUCUGCAGCGGAACAAAGAAACUCCACCGGAUUGAUAUGCGUCUAGUUCAGGACUCUCAUUAAUUUUGCAUGGAGAAACUUGGAAGCCAAAAUUAAUUUCAGUUUUUUUUACGUAUAACAACGUGUAAUAUGCCCCAAUCGACUCGACAAUAGUUGUUUACUCCGGAGAAUUUAGCCGCAUCUUCACCCCCAAGGCGAGCACACGUAAUUUCAACAAGCUAUGGCUUCAUUUUUCUGAUAACGUCUUCGGCAACCGAAAUAGAAAGCGUUCACAUUUGCUGAGGGGCCGAUAGAUCGGCGAAAUGCAAAUACAGAAACCGCAUAUGAUAAAGGGAAACAGAAAUGGAUACAAGGCUCUUGUUAUUAUACUGUAAACAAGUCAAUCAAGUGCGCUUGCUCCUUUAUGCGACCGGUCACAGCGAGCGCAGACAGAAAUGUCAAUAACAUAAUCGUCGAACAGAAGAGUUAAUCACAAAAAAGUCAGUAUGCCGAUCCAUUUCGAGAGGUCAUUUAGUGAGAAUGGUCACAUUAAGGAUUCUGCCGAAGGAGCUAAAUUUUAGAGCAAAUGCAGAUAGACGCACCACUAACUGUCUCAGGAACCUAAAACUUUUUUGCUCCUUUUAUCUAACUGCGUUUGGCCAUAUAAACCCGUUGUGGUUCUCAUUGUGUGGCGGUUCUUCUGUAUGUACCGAUGAGAUACAACAAUAGCAUCGCCGGCAAUUUGCAACCUAAAAUGAUCAAGAAUUAGCCAAUAGAAGUGUAUAGAUGCAAACGAGGGCGUGUUUUGAAAGCAUCUAUAUUAAUCUUCAGGUGUGUGCAAUAGCUGACGAUGAUGAUGAUAAUAAUGGUGAAGUACCUAACGAUGUCUUGAAAUCUACCAACAUCCACCGUCGAUUCAAGAUAUUGACCAUAGGAACAACACAGGUAGUGUACUGUAUGUACUAUUAGCCUUCACGUUCUAGCAAAUAUAGUUAGUAUCAGUGGCGAAUAUCGAAGUCAACCUAAUGUGUCCAUCUGUGCAUUCUAUUCCUUUGUGCUGUUGAUAUCGUCGAAUGGCAACGUUACCGAAGGACGCCGAUUUCACGUUUGCCACCGAGUUUAGUAUAAUACAGGCCUGGUGUACCACCAGGGCCAUAGCAAACCACAGCUAAAAUAGAUUGGCUAUAGCAUACAAAUCAAUUAGCCGUGUUACAUCAAAACGGCUGCUGGUGCUUUGGCGACCGCAGAGCGAACGAGGAACGAGUGCGUCGUUGAUGUUUUCUAUAUGGCACGAAGAAUAGGCUUCUGGCUGCCACCGCUAUUCAGACAUUGAGGAGCAGACGCUUAUAGGUGUGUGUAUAUAUACACAAUGCUCUCAUAGGUAAGUUUGAACGUGCAUACUUACCAGUUGUAUUACAUACCUAUAUCGCGCGUGCAGUCAACAAAUUAAUCCAGGUGUCACAAGGGCGGAUAAAAGAGAACGGGGAGAUUACCGGACGGAAUACUUCGAAAAGGGCAAGCUGUUUUAUGGCCAUUACACUAUAUGUACUUGUGAGGAGACCAAAGCAUUUCAGUGAGGUAAUUCUCAUGUUGAAAGCAAAUCAUCAGGCGAAAUAUCAUAUGGCCGCUGAGAGAAGAAUGAGGGCUGAUCAUAAACUUACUAGUGUUUCGCAUCUUUUCUUCAAAUGAACCAGCACAGGAAGGAACAGCUGUCUAACUAUCUAUAUAUAACUAACGAAAUUUGACUGCAUAGGUCAUUUCGUGCUUGACGAAUUUCGAAACGAUAGCCUCGAAAGCAGGAAACAACAACCUUCACCCACAGUCGACUGGCAUAUACACGGCGUAUACGGGGCAGAUUUGUA